rnacentral:rRNA from 1 species
AUUGAACGCUGGCGGCAGGCCUAACGCAUGCAAGUCGAGCGGAUGAAGGGAGCUUGCUCCUGGAUUCAGCGGCGGACGGGUGAGUAAUGCCUAGGAAUCUGCCUGGUAGUGGGGGAUAACGUCCGGAAACGGGCGCUAAUACCGCAUACGUCCUGAGGGUGAAAGUGGGGGAUCUUCGGACCUCAUGCUAUCAGAUGAGCCUAGGUCGGAUUAGCUAGUUGGUGGGGUAAAGGCCUACCAAGGCGACGAUCCGUAACUGGUCUGAGAGGAUGAUCAGUCACACUGGAACUGAGACACGGUCCAGACUCCUACGGGAGGCAGCAGUGGGGAAUAUUGGACAAUGGGCGAAAGCCUGAUCCAGCCAUGCCGCGUGUGUGAAGAAGGUCUUCGGAUUGUAAAGCACUUUAAGUUGGGAGGAAGGGCAGUAAGUUAAUACCUUGCUGUUUUGACGUUACCAACAGAAUAAGCACCGGCUAACUUCGUG